CGUGAGGCCCCGCCCACUCCACCACGUGUUCGCUCUGUUUAUGGACGCGGUGAGAAGCGCGUGCAGGUUUUAUUCUUCCUGCGCCUCAAUCAUCAGGAUGAGCAACUUCAGAUUCAUAGAUAUUGGCAUUAAUCUGACAGACCCGAUGUUCAGAGGAGUUUACAGAGGAACUCAGAAACAUGAAGAUGAUUUUCCUCAGGUGCUGGAGAGAGCGCUAAAGGUCGGCGUGGAGAAGUUCAUCAUCACUGGAGGAAACUUGGAGGAGAGCAGAGCCGCCCUCACACUCGCACAGACACGAGGUACACACUCA